UACGUAGGUUGCAAGCGUUGUCCGGAAUUAUUGGGCGUAAAGCGCGCGCAGGCGGUCCUUUAAGUCUGUUGUGAAAGCCCACGGCUCAACCGUGGAGGGUCAUUGGAAACUGGGGGACUUGAGUACAGAAGAGAAGAGUGGAAUUCCACGUGUAGCGGUGAAAUGCGUAGAGAUGUGGAGGAACACCAGUGGCGAAGGCGACUCUUUGGUCUGUAACUGACGCUGAGGCGCGAAAGCGUGGGGAGCAAACAGG
rnacentral:rRNA from 1 species